rnacentral:rRNA from 1 species
UGUGUAGGCGGUUCUUUAAGUUUGGUGUGAAAUCUCCCGGCUCGACCGGGAGGGUGCGCCGAAUACUGAGGGACUAGAGUGUGGGAGAGGAAAGUGGAAUUCCUGGUGUAGCGGUGAAAUGCGUAGAUAUCAGGAGGAACACCGGUGGUGUAGACGGCUUUCUGGACCAUAACUGACGCUGAGACACGAAAGCGUGGGUAGCAAACAGGAUUAGAUACCCUGGUAGUCCACGCCCUAAACGAUGCAUAUUUGGUGUGGGUCAUUCAGUUGAUCCGUGCCGGAGCUAACGCGUUAAAUAUGCCGCCUGGGGAGUACAGUCGCAAGGCUGAA